rnacentral:lncRNA from 1 species
CACUUCAGGUUGUGUAUGCCUCAUGUACUGCUUGUAUGGAUUGACAUUAGGCACUAUAUAGUGGUAUAUAUAGUGAUGUACAUCGUCUGAUAUUGUAACUUGCUGCUAGAUGGUGUCCAUGAUCAAUUACAGAUAUGUUGUGCCAUGAACUGAUUGGUCUGUCAUGAUUUAUGUUGACUUCACAAAUGGAGAACUCGACUACUUAAUUAGUUUUACAUCACAAGGAACCUCUUGUUACAUUUUCUGUUGUCUUCUGCAAAAUACUGGAAUUAGUUGUCUGCUUUUAAAUCAUUAUCUGUAUUAUCGCUUGGUUUUGCAAAUCAUUAGCAGGUCAACACAUAUGUUUCUCCUUGGUCCUCCUAACACAAUAGUAUGGAAGUGCUCCUACAUCCUCACUUCUUGCAUAUUUGAUGUAUGGAUGGUGCUUGUGUGGUGGUGGCGUACCCUGUUCUUGUGCGGGUAUAUAUUGUCAAUUAAAUGAACCUGCAGAAGCUACUUGCUUGUAACCAUCCUUUUGUACUAAGUGAUAAAUUGGGGUAUCCUGAUUUCAGUUAACUAUCUGGCAAAACAAACUACAGCAGAUUUUAGUUUGAAUAAGAACCUAGAUUACUUUAUGAGCUAACUGUAGUUUUUACAUGGAAAAGAAUAUCUGAUAUUGCAGUUUGGUGAAAAGACUAAUAUGGACGAUUAACCAGUUUUGUAACUUGUUUGAGACCAAGACAUCUUUAUUAGUUGCAGAUUGUGAAUGCUUUGUUUUUGUGAUAUAUUUCAUUGUUUCUUACCUUAAAGGCCUCUCUGAUUGAAAGCAUUUUUGUAGGAUUUCAAUCCUGAGGAAUUUUUCCUGUAGUGAUUGUUGGAUUUAUAGAAUGAGAAAUUUUAGGAAUUUUUAGUAUGUGCCACUUUGCAUUCAAUACCACAGAAAAUUUACCUCAAAUAUAAGCUCUUGGAAGAACUCAUAUACCUCUUGUGUUCUUGUGUUAACUCUAUGGUGUAAUACUGUAAUCAAACACACUUUGGUGCCACGUCCGUAGGUUUCAAUCCUGCAGGAUUCAGGAAGGUAUGCCAUUGGAAUCCAGCAUUUUUCAUAUAUCUGUGUUUUCGGAAUCCUGCGAAUCAAAGAGGCCCUAAGUUCACGACUCUUUGCGGCAUCUAGCGAGGUGUGUUUCUCACCUUAAAUUUUUGCUCUCUUAGCGUCGAUCAAUCAUAUCCAGUUGGAUGCACACUUGAUGACUACUGGGUGUUGGCACUUCCUUUUCUAGAAGAGUAGUUCCUAUUUUUGGAACAGAGGUUGCUAUUACUGUUUGUGAUUACUGAAUAAGAGCCUAGAUUACUUUAUGCGUCAACUGUAGUUUUGACGAGGAAAACAUAAAAUCUGAUAUCACAGUUUGGUGAAAAGACUAUAGCUGAUUUACCAGUUCUGCAACUUUUGUGAGAUAGUAUAAAACAAAAACUUUUGUGAGACCAAGUGCCUAGACAUCUUUAUUAGAUGCAUAUUGUGGAUGCUUUACUUUUGAGGUAUUUUUCUGACCUUAAAGGCUUCCUUGAGUGCAAGGAAUUUUCUAGGGUUUCAAUCCGUAGGAAUUUUUUCCAUAGCGGUUGUCUGAUUUGUAGGAUGAGAAAACUUAGGAAUUUCACUGUGGGCCACUUUGCAUUCAAUUCCACAGGAACUUUGCAUCAAGUCUAAACACUCUUGGAAGAACUCAUGUGCCUCCUGAGCUCUUAUGUUAAACUCUAUUAUGGUGUAAUACUGUAAUCACACACAGUUUGGAGCCACUUCCUAUGUUUUCUAAUCCUACAGGAUUCAGGAGGGUAUGCCAUUGGAAUCCAGCGUUUUUCCUAUAUCUGCGUCUUCAGGAUCCUGCGAAUCAAAGAGGCCUUAAGUUCACAACUCUUAGUGGCAUCUAGCAAGGUGUGUUUCUCACCUUAAAUAUUGGUGACUCUUAGCAUCGUUCAAUCAUUUCCAGUUGGAUGGACACUUGAUGACUACUGGGAGUUGGUAUUUCCUUUUUCUAGAAAGCCUGAUAGUUCCAUUUUCGAAGCAGGGGUUGCUAUUACUGUUUGCUAAAAACUGUAAAAGAAAACGUUGCGGCAAGAAUGAUGAAAUUCCCAUGCUUUUAUGUCAUAUGGAUGACUACUGGGAGUCUUUUUCUAGAAAGCCUGGUAGUUCCAUUUUCGGGACAGUGGUUGCUAUUACUGUUUGCUAACAACUGUAAAAAACGUUGUGGCAAUAAUGAUGAAAAUUCCCAUGCUUUUCUGUCAUAUGGUGAAGUUCACGACACUGUAUGGGUUACUGAAUUAAAGGAGGUGAAUAAAAUGGGAUUACCUGUAUUGUGUCACCAAAGGCUGAGGGACCUCAAAUACAUUAUUUGCUUAAUUGCAAGCCAACCAGUAGGAAGCAAGGUUCCAAAUAAAAAAAAGAGGGAUAGCAAUCCCUGAACUGAUUAGCCUGGCAAGAUUUAUGUUGACAUCACAAAUGGAGAACUCGAGUACUUAAUUAGUUUUACAUCAGAAGGAACCUCUUGUUACAUUUUCUGUUGUCUUCUGCAAAAUACUGGAAUU